AUUGAACGCUGGCGGCAUGCCUUACACAUGCAAGUCGAACGGUAACAGGUCUUCGGAUGCUGACGAGUGGCGAACGGGUGAGUAAUAUAUCGGAACGUGCCCCAGUCGUGGGGGAUAACGCAGUGAAAGCUGUGCUAAUACCGCAUACGAUCUAUGGAUGAAAGCGGGGGAUCGCAAGACCUCGCGCGAUUGGAGCGGCCGAUAUCAGAUUAGGUAGUUGGUGGGGUAAAAGGCCCACCAAGCCAACGAUCUGUAGCUGGUCUGAGAGGACGACCAGCCACACUGGAACUGAGACACGGUCCAGACUCCUACGGGAGGCAGCAGUGGGGAAUUUUGGACAAUGGGCGCAAGCCUGAUCCAGCAAUGCCGCGUGCAGGAUGAAGGCCUUCGGGUUGUAAACUGCUUUUGUACGGAACGAAAAGGCUCUGGUUAAUACCUGGGGCUCAUGACGGUACCGUAAGAAUAAGCACCGGCUAACUACGUG
rnacentral:rRNA from 1 species